rnacentral:tRNA from 1 species
CAGAAAAUAGUUUAUAAAAUAUUAAUUUUGGGAAUUAAAGAUAAAGGUUAACUCCUUUUUUUCUGA